UCUUCCUGUAGUUCUCCCACUUCGAGUUGUGGGCAUACCCUUCACGAAUUCUACACCUCCCCAGCAGAGUCGCCAAAGAAAUGUGGGCAAGGAAAUCGUACCUUGCUAGGGUUAGGGUUUCAUGUUGGCUGAGGAGGAGAGAAAUCCACAAAGAGCACGGAAUUGAUUGGUUGAUUGAAGAGGGGAGAACGACAGGUGGGCG
rnacentral:lncRNA from 1 species